UACGGAGGGGGCUAGCGUUAUUCGGAAUUACUGGGCGUAAAGCGCACGUAGGCGGACUGAAAAGUCAGAGGUGAAAUCCCAGGGCUCAACCUUGGAACUGCCUUUGAAACUCUCAGUCUUGAGGUCGAGAGAGGUGAGUGGAAUUCCGAGUGUAGAAGUGAAAUUCGUAAAUAUUCAAAAGAACACCAGUGGCGAAGGCGGCUCACUGGCUCGAUACUGACGCUGAAAUGCGAAAGCGUGGGGAGCAAACAGG
rnacentral:rRNA from 1 species